AAUGGUUUUGUUUGUUCAAUUAUUAUUAAUAUUUACCAUUAUUUACAAAAAUAAUUUAAAAGUUUGAUUCUUUCUUUAGUUUUAAUUAAUUGGAUUAAUUAUAUGUAUUAUUUUAAUUUUAAAAUUUUUCAGUAAUAAGUUUUAUUUAAUAAUUAAAAAUUAUUUAGAUAUUCAAUAUAUCUGAGAAAAAUAAUGUGCCAGCAUUCGCGGUUAUACAUUUUUAGUAAAUUAAUAAAUUUGGAUUUUAAUUAAAAAAAAAAUGAUUGUAUAAUAUUUAUAUUUAAGUAAAAUUUAUAUUUUAGUAAUAAUCAUAAUUAAUAUUAAAAAUCUUUAUUUUAAACUAGGAUUAGAUACCCUAUUAUUAAAUGAUAUAAAAUUAAUCCAUAAUAUUAAAAGUUAUGUUCUUUUAAACUUAAAGAAUUUGGCGGUUAUUUAUUUAAUUAGAGGAAUCUGUUGUUUAAUUGAUAAACCACAAUAAUUUAUACCUUUAUUAUAUUUGUAUAUCGCUAUCAAUGAAUGUUUUAGUAGAAUAUUUUCAUUUUUUAUUUUAAAUUAAAAUUAGGUCAAGAUGCAGUUUUAUAUAGGUAAUAAUGGAUUACUUUAAUUUUAAAUUUUUUGAAUUUAAUAAUUUUAUUAUUUAUAAAAAAGGAUUUAAUAGUAAAUUUAAUUAAUUAAUUAAAUUGAAUAAAUUCUAAAUAAUGUACAUAUCGCCCGUCACCCUCAUUUUAAGUUGAGGUAAGUCGUAACAAAGUAAUUUUACCGGAAGGUGAAGUUAGAAAGU
rnacentral:ncRNA from 1 species